rnacentral:rRNA from 1 species
GAUGAACGCUGGCGGCGUGCCUAAUACAUGCCAGUCGAGCGAACAGAUGAGGAGCUUGCUCCUCUGACGUUAGCGGCGGACGGGCGAGUAACACGUGGAUAACCUACCUAUAAGACUGGGAUAACUUCGGGAAACCGGAGCUAAUACCGGAUAAUAUAUUGAACCGCAUGGUUCAAUAGUGAAAGACGGUUUUGCUGUCACUUAUAGAUGGAUCCGCGCCGCAUUAGCUAGUUGGUAAGGUAACGGCUUACCAAGGCAACGAUGCGUAGCCGACCUGAGAGGGUGAUCGGCCACACUGGAACUGAGACACGGUCCAGACUCCUACGGGAGGCAGCAGUAGGGAAUCUUCCGCAAUGGGCGAAAGCCUGACGGAGCAACGCCGCGUGAGUGAUGAAGGUCUUCGGAUCGUAAAACUCUGUUAUUAGGGAAGAACAAAUGUGUAAGUAACUAUGCACGUCUUGACGGUACCUAAUCAGAAAGCCACGGCUAACUACGUG